rnacentral:rRNA from 1 species
GACGAACGCUGGCGGCGUGCUUAACACAUGCAAGUCGAACGGUGAAGCGCCUUCCUUUUGGUGGGUGUGGAUGAGUGGCGAACGGGUGAGUAACACGUGAGUAACCUGCCCCCUUCUUCUGGAUAACCGCAUGAAAGUGUGGCUAAUACGGGAUAUUCUGUGCCUGCUGCAUGGUGGGUGUGGGAAAGAUUGCGCCCUUUUUGGGUGUUUUUGGUGGGGGAUGGGCUCGCGGCCUAUCAGCUUGUUGGUGGGGUGAUGGCCUACCAAGGCGGUGACGGGUAGCCGGCCUGAGAGGGUGGACGGUCACACUGGGACUGAGACGCGGCCCAGACUCCUACGGGAGGCAGCAGUGGGGAAUAUUGCACAAUGGGCGCAAGCCUGAUGCAGCGACGCCGCGUGAGGGAUGGAGGCCUUCGGGUUGUGAACCUCUUUCGCCAGUGAAGCAGGCCUGCUCCUUGGUGGGUGGGUUGACGGUAGCUGGAUAAGAAGCGCCGGCUA